rnacentral:tRNA from 2 species
GCGGGCGUGGCGGAAUUGGCAAACGCGCCGGGUUUAGGUCCCGGUGGGGCUCACGCCCCUUAGAGGUUCGAGUCCUCUCGCCCGCA